ensembl:lncRNA
UGCUGCUGCUGUUGGUUAUUGUUGUUGUUGUAGAUUUUUGCUGCUGCUGCAAAACAAGUAAAGGAACUUGCUACUGCCAGUGCCAAUACAUAUGCUGAUACACUGCGUCAGCUUACCCUGCAACAUGUCCUUGCGGGGGCCCAUGCUGGCUUUUUGCGGGCACAGUGGGCAAGAACCCACACCAAACCUAAAAAGGCCCAGCGCGGGCCUGCCCAGGCAAACCCAGGGAAAGAUGGAUGCUGGUACGGUUAAAACGCCACAUAACUGGAAAUUAAAGGGGAAAAUCUAAUGUUUCAGUGGGAAGUCUUCAGUGACGAUGACCCCCCGUUGUGACUCCACGGUUUGGACAUGUUGUACAGACACAUCGAUUUGUUCUCGCCAUCUCUGCCGAACAGUGGGAGUGCAUUUACACUAGGCCGUGCGUGCAGCACACUGAGUGUGGAUCUGCAGGGGUCAGGUCUAGACAAGCAGCCAUGCAGACCUACCAUACAAUCACACCUUCCAUUAGAGAUGUGCAAGCUCGACACGCAUAACCUGUAACCUCCAUUUUAUGGGUAUUUGUUAUUGUUUUGUUUGAGAUGCUGUGCUUUAAAUUUGAGAUUGUAUUUGCUUAUCACUUGACACUUAUCUCAUGUUUUUUGUUAAGGAAGGUGUGUAAGUCAUUUGAUUGGCAUGUUUAUUCAGCAGUAUAGACAGAUGACUGCUUAUACUGUAAAAUGAUAGCAGUAUUGCACAUCCAGGAAAUAUAAACACAUUGCUUGCCAAUGUCAAAUAUACACUGGUAAUUUGCAUACAAAUAGGAGGUCAGAUUUGCAUAUCAGGUCUAAAAGCAGCCUAUUAUGCCAUUCAGUCGAUGG